AAGUAUCAAACUUUGACAAGUGAGGACAGAAAAAU
rnacentral:sRNA from 1 species